rnacentral:rRNA from 1 species
UACUCGAGUGGCGAACGGGUGAGUAACACGUGGGUGAUCUGCCCUGCACUUCGGGAUAAGCCUGGGAAACUGGGUAUAAUACCGGAUAGGACGAUGGUUUGGAUGCCAUUGUGGAAAGUUUUUCGGUGUGGGAUGAGCUCGCGGCCUAUCAGCUUGUUGGUGGGGUAAUGGCCUACCAAGGCGUCGACGGGUAGCCGGCCUGAGAGGGUAUACGGCCACAUUGGGACUGAGAUACGGCCCAG